GACGAACGCUGGCGGCGUGCUUAACACAUGCAAGUCGAACGGAAAGGCCCUGCUUUUGUGGGGUGCUCGAGUGGCGAACGGGGGAGUAACACGUGAGUAACCUGCCCUUGACUUUGGGAUAACUUCAGGAAACUGGGGCUAAUACCGGAUAGGAGCUCCUGCUGCAUGGGGGGGGUUGGAAAGUUUCGGCGGUUGGGGAUGGACUCGCGGCUUAUCAGCUUGUUGGUGGGGUAGUGGCGUACCAAGGCUUUGACGGGUAGCCGGCCUGAGGGGGUGGCCGGCCACAUUGGGACUGAGAUACGGCCCAGACUCCUACGGGAGGCAGCAGUGGGGAGUAUUGCACAAUGGGCGGAAGCCUGAUGCAGCAACGCCGCGUGCGGGAUGCCGGCCUUCGGGUUGUAAACCGCUUUCGCCUGUGACGAAGCGUGAGUGACGGUAAUGGGUAAAGAAGCACCGGCUAACUACGUG
rnacentral:rRNA from 1 species